rnacentral:rRNA from 1 species
AGCACUGCUAGUGUAUACCACGAGUACUGCGGUUAAAAAGCUCGUAGUUGGAUCUGCGGAUCAGGAUCCAGGUCGACCUUAUGGGUCCGUACUUGGUGUCCGAUCCUACUUGCCGGUUUUCUGCCCAUGCUCUUAACUGGGUGUGGGUGGAGGCUGGCGCUUUUACUUUGAAAAAAUUGGAGUGCUCAGAACAGGCGCUUGCCUGAACAGUUGUGCAUGGAAUAAUGGAAUAAGAUCUCGGUCUUAUUUUGCUGGUUUUAGAGAUGGAGAUAAUGAUUAAGAGGGACAGACGGGGGCAUUCGUAUUGCGACGUUAGAGGUGAAAUUCUUGGAUCGUCGCAAGACGGACAACUGCGAAAGCAUUUGCCAAGAAUGUUUUCAUUAAUCAAGAACGAAAGUAG